rnacentral:tRNA from 1 species
GGAUUAUGGCUCAGUGGUAGAGCACUUGCCUAGCACGUGCGAGUCCCUGAGUUUGAUCCUCAGCACCA